rnacentral:rRNA from 1 species
AGUGAACGCUGGCGGUAGGCCUAACACAUGCAAGUCGAACGGCAGCACAGUAAGAGCUUGCUCUUACGGGUGGCGAGUGGCGGACGGGUGAUGAAUACAUAGGAAUCUACUUUUUCGUGGGGGAUAACGUAGGGAAACUUACGCUAAUACCGCAUACGACCUACGGGUGAAAGCAGGGGAUCUUCGGACCUUGCGCGAUUGAAUGAGCCGAUGUCGUAUUAGCUAGUUGGCGGGGUAAAGGCCCACCAAGGCGACGAUCCGUAGCUGGUCUGAGAGGAUGAUAGCCCACCCGGGAACGGGGCCAGGGUCCCUACUCCUACGGGAGGCAGCAGUGGGGAAUGUUGGACAAUGGGCGCAAGCAUGACCCAGCCAGACCGCGUGUGUUAAGAAGGCCUUCGGUUUGUAAAGCCCUUUUGUUGGGAAAGAAAAGCAGCAGGUUAAUACCCCGCUGUUCUGACGGUACCCAAAGAAUAAGCACCGGCUAACUUCGUG